rnacentral:tRNA from 1 species
GAUAAAGAGAGGGAUAACCCCCUGUAAGUAGGUCUACAGCCUACCGCCUAACUCGGCCACUUUACC